AGGUACAAUUAUGAAAUUUGAAAGACACUUGGUGAAUCAUCUCUGUGAGAAGACCUGCAACCUAAUGCCCAGAAAAAAUUAGAGAUGAUCAACAAAUGGAAUCACCAUGGUGAUAUCUGUUUGAUGGCAGACGUACAAGUACUUCAGAAAAUUAGUGUGUUGAUGACAGACCAAUUUUAAAUUACAAUGUAUUUGUUUUCCUAAAAGUUGAGUUUAACAUAUAUACUCAAAAACAGUUCUAAUACUUAAGAAAUUCUUUUUAUUUUAUUUUUAUGAUAUAGAUCUAAAUUUUAAACUUUUCUUGUUUCAUCAGUACAGAGCACUAUACAAAUAUUAAAAUUACUUUGUCAAGGUUGUGAGUUCAAUGCUAUCAUUUUUGUCCAGAUCAUUAUUUAUUCACAGUGAUAGUCUGAUGUCUGCUAGCAGUAAUUUUAUUCAAAUGACAAAGCCACUUGUUUAUAAGUUACCAUGGAAACCCUGUACCAGAAGUCACCAUUGCAAUGCAAUUUUCUAAAUUAUAAUUGACUUCAAUGACCAUGCCCUUACUUUAAUCUGUGAAUACACGGUCUCCGUAGUCAUGCUGAUGUAAAAUUGAUCCAUUGAAAAGCAUGGCAAGCACUUUUAUUCACCUUGACAAAAAAUCCAUUUAAGACAAUGGAAGCUUUUGAUAUGAUAGCAUCUGGGAAUCACAUGGGUGGUUGCCUUGGAAGGAUGUAAACAGUUUGUAACCUCACUUUUCAUUGGCUGAUUAUGACUGAUGAUGCUGCAGACUAAAUUACCUGUAUUUUCACCUGAUGACAUUCAUCUAACCAACAGGUAGUUACAUUGACAAAUCAAACAUCAAUACAGAUCAAAGACAGCUAUUGAUAAAGAUAUAUAAAGUUCUGACAACUUUUUCCAGUUUUCUGACAAAGUUUUACAACAAAAAUGGCUGUCUCCAAGUUACCAACUCAUCACCUAGAGAACUGUAUGCUGGGAUAGCUCAUCACUAAGAUCACUGUUUUCAUUGGUUGAAUGCUCCCAAACCAGUCAAGUGAUACAAACUAUUUUUAUGCACAAGCGACCUCACAUUUAACAGGCAUCAUUGUCAUAGCAACCUAUUACAGUUGUCUUGGUAACAUACAUGCCUCAGAAUAUUCUAAUUAGAAGCCCCCAGCCAGAAGUUUUAGCACUGGUUCUGCACAGAUUGUUAUGUGAUAGGUGUACUUCUUAGCCUGGGGCUUUUGUUUUCUUUACUGAUAUUCACAAGUAAACUAAUUAUUCUCUCAUUACAUCAUACCCUUUGGCAGUUGAGAAGAGACACAGCAGGAAAGUGUCUUAGAUUUUUACACCUGUCAUAAAUGUAGAGAAGUUUAUUUUAUAAAAAUUAAGUAAAUUGUGGUCAUUAGAAUUGUGUUCAUGAAAAUGAAACUCAGAAAGAAAAAAAAUCUUUGGGGAAAUGUGGGGCAAAAAAUUUAAAUGUCCUAGAAAUCUGACACACCUUAGUUAACCUUACCUAUUUUCUGAUUUCAUCCAUUUAACACAAGAAAUGUUUAAAAUCCACAGUGCAGACUGACUGUCCCUCAGUUAAUUGACACCUGCAUGGUCGACAUACACUUAUCAGCAGGGAGAGACAGAGAUACCUAAAUAACUGGGAGGAUUUUGCCUGAUAAUGUCACACAUAUAUGUAUAUCAUAUAUACACUGCACAUUGAUAAAAACAAAAUCUCCACUGCUUGUCUGACACAGGAGAAAUAUACACUUACACUGUUGCAUUGCUCUGAGUGAAAACAUCCUGGAAACUAAUUCUUUAUUUCCUCAACAACGUAAAUCUCCUUCCUGUUUAUACAAAUUAUGCUUACUUGUACUUGUGUAUAGCUAGUAAAUUUCCCUUGACAGAUUUAUGUAAAUUUUUGUACAAGAAAUUUAUUUUAGGCAAUAUAUUAAAUAAUCACUGCAUCAGA